GACGAACGCUGGCGGCGUGCUUAACACAUGCAAGUCGAACGGAAAGGCCCUGCUUUUGUGGGGUGCUCGAGUGGCGAACGGGUGAGUAACACGUGAGUAACCUGCCCUUGACUUUGGGAUAACUUCAGGAAACUGGGGCUAAUACCGGAUAGGAGCUCCUGCUGCAUGUUGGGGGUUGGAAAGUUUCGGCGGUUGGGGUUGUAGUCGCGGCUUAUCAGCUUGUUUGUGGGGUAGUGGCUUACCAAGGAUUUGACGGGUAGCCAGCCUGGGAGGGUGACCGGCUCCAGUGGAAUAAGGGAGCGACCAGGAGGGAAACGGGAGCAAGGGGUGGGAACCUUUCGGAACAGGGCGGAGGCAGGAAGCAGGAACGCCGGAUCGGGAAAGACGGCUUUUGGGUAAGAACCGCUUUCGCAUGUGACGAAGCGUGAGUGACGGUAAUGGGUAAAGAAGCACCGGCUAACUACGUG
rnacentral:rRNA from 1 species